AGAGGGGGAUAACCACUGGAAACGGUGGCUAAUACCCCAUGUGGUUCCGCAUUCGGUUGCGGGAUUAAAGGCUCCGGCGCUUCGGGAGGGGCCUACGGCCUAUCAGCUAGUUGGUAGGGUAAUGGCCUACCAAGGCUAUAACGGGUAGCUGGUCUGAGAGGACGGUCAGCCACACUGGCACUGAGACACGGGCCAGACUCCUACGGGAGGCAGCAGUGAGGAAUAUUGCGCAAUGGGGGAAACCCUGACGCAGCAACGCCGCGUGGGCGAAGAAGGUCUUCGGAUCGUAAAGCCCUUUUCUCCCGGACGAGGAAGGACGGUACGGGAGGAAUAAGUGUCGGCUAACUACGUGCCAGCAGCCGCGGUAAAACGUAGGACGCAAGCGUUAUCCGGAUUUAUUGGGCGUAAAGGGCGUUUAGGCGGCGUCUUAAGUUGGGCGUGAAAUCUUCCGGCUCAACCGGAAGGGUGCGUUCAAUACUGGGACGCUUGAGGGCAGCAGAGGGAGGUGGAAUUCCCGGUGUAGCGGUGGAAUGCGUAGAUAUCGGGAGGAACACCAGUGGCGAAGGCGGCCUCCUGGGCUGUACCUGACGCUGAAGCGCGAAAGCGUGGGGAGCGAACGGGAUUAGAUACCCCGGUAGUCCACGCCGUAAACGAUGGAUACUAGGUGUUGGUGGUAUUGACCCCAUCGGUGCCGCAGCUAACGCAUUAAGUAUCCCGCCUGGGGACUACGGUCGCAAGGCUAAAACUCAAAGGAAUUGACGGGGGCCCGCACAAGCAGCGGAGCGUGU
rnacentral:rRNA from 1 species